rnacentral:rRNA from 1 species
UACGGAGGGAGCUAGCGUUGUUCGGAAUUACUGGGCGUAAAGCGCACGUAGGCGGCUCAGCAAGUCAGGGGUGAAAUCCCGGGGCUCAACCCCGGAACUGCCCUUGAAACUGCUAAGCUAGAAUCUUGGAGAGGCGAGUGGAAUUCCGAGUGUAGAGGUGAAAUUCGUAGAUAUUCGGAAGAACACCAAUGGCGAAGGCGACUCGCUGGACAAGUAUUGACGCUGAGGUGCGAAAAGCGUGGGGAGCAAACAGG